AGCGAACGCUGGCGGCAGGCCUAACACAUGCAAGUCGAACGAACCUUUCGGGGUUAGUGGCGGACGGGUGAGUAACACGUGGGAACGUGCCUUUAGGUUCGGAAUAACUCAGGGAAACUUGUGCUAAUACCGAAUGUGCCCUUCGGGGGAAAGAUUUAUCGCCUUUAGAGCGGCCCGCGUCUGAUUAGCUAGUUGGUUGAGGUAAUGGCUCACCAAGGCGACGAUCAGUAGCUGGUCUGAGAGGAUGAUCAGCCACAUUGGGACUGAGACACGGCCCAAACUCCUACGGGAGGCAGCAGUGGGGAAUCUUGCGCAAUGGGCGAAAGCCUGACGCAGCCAUGCCGCGUGAAUGAUGAAGGUCUUAGGAUUGUAAAAUUCUUACACCGGGGACGAUAAUGACGGUACCCGGAGAAGAAGCCCCGGCUAACUUCGUG
rnacentral:rRNA from 1 species